rnacentral:rRNA from 25 species
CAAUCAAGUGCCUUAAGGGUGUUCGGUGGAUGCCUUGGCGCUGAGAGGCGAUGAAGGACGUGCUACGCUGCGAUAAGCCGUGGGGAGCUGCGAAGAAGCUUUGAUCCAUGGAUUUCCGAAUGGGGAAACCCACCUUCGAUAGCCGGAACUCCAAGACCUCAGUCGAAAGACUGUGGUGUGGGGUUCGAACAGAAAUGUGAGAUGCCUAGGCCUUUAGAUUUCGAUCGAAGAGGUUUUGGAUUUCCGGUUAUCAAAAGAAGGUAUGAGACUUCUGAAUACAUAGGAGGUUUCAAGCAAACCCAGGGAACUGAAACAUCUAAGUACCUGGAGGAAAGGACAUCAACAGAG